GUUCCUGUAGUUGAAAUUACAACGGUGGUUUUUCAAGUCACUGGUCCUGGUUAAAAUCCGGGCAGGAAUU
rnacentral:tRNA from 1 species